GUGGGGAAUAUUGCACAAUGGGGGAAACCCUGAUGCAGCAACGCCGCGUGAGUGAUGAAGGCCUUCGGGUUGUAAAGCUCUGUCUUUGGGGACGAUAAUGACGGUACCCAAGGAGGAAGCCACGGCUAACUACGUGCCAGCAGCCGCGGUAAUACGUAGGUGGCAAGCGUUGUCCGGAUUUACUGGGCGUAAAGGGAGCGUAGGUGGAUAUUUAAGUGGGAUGUGAAAUACCUGGGCUUAACCUGGGUGCUGCAUUCCAAACUGGAUGUCUAGAGUGCAGGAGAGGAGAGUGGAAUUCCUAGUGUAGCGGUGAAAUGCGUAGAGAUUAGGAAGAACACCAGUGGCGAAGGCUAUUCUCUGGACUGUAACUGACGCUGAGGCUCGAAAGCGUGGGGAGCAAACAGGAUUAGAAACCCCAGUAGUCC
rnacentral:rRNA from 1 species